UUUCCGGUUGAUCCUGCCGCCGGCCACCGCUAUCAAGUUCCGACUAAGCCAUGCGAGUCAAGGUAUCGUAAGAUGCCGGCAAACUGCUCAGUAACACGUGGAUAAUCUAACCUUGAGUAAGGGAUAACCUCGGGAAACUGAGGAUAAUACCUUAUAAUUGCUUAAAACUGGAAUGUUUAAGCAAUAAAAGUUCCGACGCUCAAGGAUGAGUCUGCGACCUAUCAGGUAGUAGGUGGUGUAAUGGACCACCUAGCCUCAGACGGGUACGGGCCCUGGGAGGGGUAGCCCGGAGAUGGACUCUGAGACAUCAGUCCAGGCCCUACGGGGCGCAGCAGGCGCGAACACUGUGCAAUGCGCGAAAGCGCGACACGGGGAGCUUGAGUGUCUUGGCAUAGCCAAGACUUUUCUCAUUCCUAAAAAGCAUGAGGAAUAAGUGCUGGGUAAGACGGGUGCCAGCCGCCGCGGUAACACCCGCAGCACAAGUGGUGGUCACUUUUAUUGAGCCAAAAGCGUUCGUAGCCGGUUUUGUAAAUCUUUAGAUAAAGCCUGAAGCUUAACUCCAGAAAGUCUGAAGAGACUGCAAGACUUGAGAUCGGGUGAGGUUAAACGUACUUUCAGGGUAGGGGUAAAAUCCUGUAAUCCCGGAAGGACGACCAGUGGCGAAAGCGUUUAACUAGAACGAAUCUGACGGUAAGGAACGAAGGCUAGGGUAGCAAACCGGAUUAGAUACCCGGGUAGUCCUAGCUGUAAACACUGCCCAUUUGAUGUUGCUUUUCCGUUGAGGGAAGGCAGUGUCGGAGCGAAGGUGUUAAAUGGGCCGCUUGGGAAGUAUGGUCGCAAGACUGAAACUUAAAGGAAUUGGCGGGGGAGCACCGCAACGGGAGGAAUGUGCGGUUUAAUUGGAUUCAACGCCGGA
rnacentral:rRNA from 1 species